rnacentral:lncRNA from 1 species
AGUUACUCUCUUCCUCGUAGAAACCAUCAGGCCAUUACCCAACCAUCAUCCAUCCCCUCCAUUCCAAUUCAUAUGUUCUUAGCUAAAUCAUCAUGCAAAAUUAAGAGAUUCAUUCCUUAAAGCUUCAAAAAAGAAUGGUAAGAGCUCAACUAAUCUCUCUCUAUUUUUCCCUCUUUCAAGCCAUCAACCCUUUUUCAUCCCAAACUCUGAUUUAUACAUUCUAGCAGCAAGGGGGUUGUUGCAUGUGUUCCAAAUCAUCAAGCGGUAACCUUAUUAAUCUAAGGUAUGAUUAGUGGUUCAUUUCCCUAUCUUUCAUUGUUGUGAUUCAAUCAAUCCUCAAAACCCAAUUCUUACCUUUUGGUUGUCUGCUGAUGCAUGCAUUGUGGCUGCAAAUUCCGUUAUUCGGCAAGCUUCGAAGAUGUUGUUAACACGUUUCAAACGUCAUGUUCAGGUGGGUUCCUUUAAGUAAACUUUCACUUGAUAGACUAGUUUCCCCAAAUUACCAUCUUUGCAUGACAACAUAGGUUUAAAUUAGGAUUUUAGGAAUUAAUCGUUAAUUGGAUUAAUUGACUAUUUGAUUUAACUCCGUACAUGUCUGAAAUGUUAGAAGUUCAUGGAAUCUAAUGCAAAUACAUUAUUUACAACCUGUUUUGGGAAGUUUCUGUUUUACAAAUUAUGCAGGAAAUUCGUGUAUGAAUCAGUUCAUAAGAGUAUGAAUCGGUGCAUAUGCCUCCCCGGCUCGAACAAAUGCGCGUCUUGAACCUUAUGAGUAGGUGCAUACAUUCUGCGAAUCUGUGCAUAAAGCUCCAGGAUGCAGUUUUUAUAAAACUGGGACCCUAUGAAUCGAUACAUGCCCUACACGAACUAAUUCAUGCACGAGGAACAUAGUUAUGCAUUGAUACAUGAGUAGUAUGCACCAGUACCUAUUUUUGCUAAAAUCUUGAUUUAAAGACACCGGUGCAUGCCUUCUUGAACUGAUGCAUACUGAUACAAAUUCUAUAUUUUCAAAGUAAUUAGAUUCCAUGGUUUCAUAACUUUCGUACCUGUAUUAAAAUUUGUAGACAUAGGAAUUGAAUCAUGAUAUUCAGGAUAGUUUGAAUUGUCCCGGGAAGGUCUUCUUUUCUUUGGGUAGGAAAACAAUCAGGUUCAGGAUUAGAUACCACGAUUAUCAAUUAUUUAUCAGUAUUUAUCUAGAUGCUUGGUCAUUAGUACCAAUGUCAGGUUGCUUGGUCAUUAGCACCAUGUCAGGGGAUUCAAUCAGAAUCCAAAAUCAUGUAAUAAUAACUGUAAGCUCAUGUUGUAUUCCAACGUACAUUAUUAUCGGUAAUACCAGACCAGGCACUCCGGGACCGGCUUACCUCGAACAAGAUAAUUAAUCUAUGUUACGCCAUUUAUUUAUUAUGCUUUAUGUUAUGUUAUAAAAUUAUGAAAUUAUGUUAUGGACUGAUUAUCAGGAUUAUGACUCAGGAUCAGAUUAGAAUGAGAGAACUAUUAGUUCAAUACCCGGUGUAGUCACCAUUAGUUGGGUAGUAGGAGCUCAUUGAGGCUUAGUAGUCUCAUCCCACGCCUUUCAAUUUUUUUUAGGUAGACAAGUUAACCGGAGCAAGGACCAGGCAGGAACUGAUGAUCGAGGCCGAGCUUGGAUUAUCGGAUUAGAAGACUUUCAUCUUCUUCUUUGUUUUUAUGUUAAUCUGUUAAGUUAGAAUUUAAUUCUCUUCCGCUGUAUUUGUACCGAAUUAUCACGUUAUUCUUGUGAUAUCUUGUAAUUCAAUCAAUUUAUUCUGUAAUUUUAAUGUACUCA